ACCAUUUCCUGUAUGAUCACUGAAGUUAAGCAACACUGAGCCUGGUCAGUACCUAGAUGAAUGACUGCUUGGGAAUACCAGGUGCUGAA